rnacentral:rRNA from 1 species
GACGAACGCUGGCGGCGUGCCUAAUACAUGCAAGUAGAACGCUGAAGAGAGGAGCUUGCUCUUCUUGGAUGAGUUGCGAACGGGUGAGUAACGCGUAGGUAACCUGCCUUGUAGCGGGGGAUAACUAUUGGAAACGAUAGCUAAUACCGCAUAACAAUGGAUGACACAUGUCAUUUAUUUGAAAGGGGCAAUUGCUCCACUACAAGAUGGACCUGCGUUGUAUUAGCUAGUAGGUGAGGUAAUGGCUCACCUAGGCGACGAUACAUAGCCGACCUGAGAGGGUGAUCGGCCACACUGGGACUGAGACACGGCCCAGACUCCUACGGGAGGCAGCAGUAGGGAAUCUUCGGCAAUGGGGGCAACCCUGACCGAGCAACGCCGCGUGAGUGAAGAAGGUUUUCGGAUCGUAAAGCUCUGUUGUAGGUCAAGAACGGGUGUGAGAGUGGAAAGUUCACACUGUGACGUUAGCUUACCAGAAAGGGACGGCUAACUACGUG